rnacentral:rRNA from 1 species
AUGUGUUACCGAAGUUCCUUCCCUUUGACAGGAAGUACGUCUCCAUUGGAGCGGCGUGGAGGCACAAUGCUCCCCAAGAAGCCACUAGGGCCACCGUAUUCUCAUCACGCCCUCACACAAUGCGAGAUGUCGUGA